rnacentral:rRNA from 1 species
CCUACGGGAGGCAGCAGUAAGGAAUCUUGCGCAAUGGGCGAAAGCCUGACGCAGCGACGCCGCGUGGGCGAUGAAGGCCUUCGGGUUGUAAAGCCCUUUUCUGGGGGACGAGGAAGGACGGUACCCCAGGAAUAAGUCACGGCUAACUACGUGCCAGCAGCCGCGGUAAAACGUAGGUGGCAAGCGUUAUCCGGAAUCACUGGGCGUAAAGCGCGCGUAGGCGGGUUCUUAAGUCGGGGGUGAAAUCCCGAGGCUCAACCUCGGAACUGCCUCCGAAACUGGGAACCUUGAGGUAUGGAGAGGGAAGUGGAAUUCCUGGUGUAGCGGUGAAAUGCGUAGAUAUCAGGAGGAACACCCGUGGCGAAGGCGGCUCCCGGGCCAUCACCUGACGCUGAAGCGCGAAAGCGUGGGGAGCGAACGGGAUUAGAUCCCCUUGUAGU